AGUGGUAUCAAAGUCUAGGUUCUAUUAUAACAUGUAUAUAUAUGCAUGUAACAUUAGAAUUUUAAUUUUUAUUAUAAAAUGAUCUGAUCAUGAUAAGAUCUACGUGAUUUAGUUUAGAUCUAAAUUUUUCAUAUAUGAUAUGAUUAGAUUAGAAGCCUAUUAGCCAAGUAAUUGGAUGAAUAUUCUUGGCCAUUCGGUCAUAGGAG
rnacentral:lncRNA from 1 species